AGAGUUUGAUCCUGGCUCAGGACGAACGCUGGCGGCGCGCCUAACACAUGCAAGUCGAACGAGAGAUGAGGAGCUUGCUCUUCAAAUCGAGUGGCGAACGGGUGAGUAACGCGUGAGGAACCUGCCUCAAAGAGGGGGACAACAGUUGGAAACGACUGCUAAUACCGCAUAAGCCCACGGCUCGGCAUCGAGCAGAGGGAAAAGGAGCAAUCCGCUUUGAGAUGGCCUCGCGUCCGAUUAGCUAGUUGGUGAGGUAACGGCCCACCAAGGCGACGAUCGGUAGCCGGACUGAGAGGUUGAACGGCCACAUUGGGACUGAGACACGGCCCAGACUCCUACGGGAGGCAGCAGUGGGGAAUAUUGCACAAUGGGGGAAACCCUGAUGCAGCGACGCCGCGUGGAGGAAGAAGGUCUUCGGAUUGUAAACUCCUGUUGUUGAGGAAGAUAAUGACGGUACUCAACAAGGAAGUGACGGCUAACUACGUGCCAGCAGCCGCGGUAAAACGUAGGUCACAAGCGUUGUCCGGAAUUACUGGGUGUAAAGGGAGCGCAGGCGGGAAGACAAGUUGGAAGUGAAAUCCAUGGGCUCAACCCAUGAACUGCUUUCAAAACUGUUUUUCUUGAGUAGUGCAGAGGUAGGCGGAAUUCCCGGUGUAGCGGUGGAAUGCGUAGAUAUCGGGAGGAACACCAGUGGCGAAGGCGGCCUACUGGGCACCAACUGACGCUGAGGCUCGAAAGUGUGGGUAGCAAACAGGAUUAGAUACCCUGGUAGUCCACACCGUAAACGAUGAUUACUAGGUGUUGGAGGAUUGACCCCUUCAGUGCCGCAGUUAACACAAUAAGUAAUCCACCUGGGGAGUACGACCGCAAGGUUGAAACUCAAAGGAAUUGACGGGGGCCCGCACAAGCAGUGGAGUAU
rnacentral:rRNA from 1 species